CUGUAAUUAUAGUAAACCUCAAGGGGUGUCACUGUAAUUAACCCUUGAAAAUUUUAUCAUAUCCAAAUCAAAAAGUGUAUUUGACCAUUUUGACCAUCUAAACCAAAAAAUUUCUUGCAUGUACUAUUUUGACACGAAUAUUUCUACACAAUGACCCAUGAACCCGAAUUAACACUGACGAUUUGUUUAAAAAAAAAAAACUGACGAUUCAGUAAAUUUGCAGAUUUUCAACUCUGCAAACUUAACACAUUUCAGUGAGUCGAUCUCAGAAAAUUUCAGAACUUCAACGGACCCAGAACUCCUCCUUUCAUGUUUUGAACUAUCAAUUCAAGUCUUAAACCCUAACCCCAAGUUCUCUUCCUCCAUUUUUACUGAAGACGUGCGUGGAGGUCAUUUUACCAUUGUUUAUUGGGUCAGAUGUUGCCAAUACACAGAGAGGCAGAUCAUUUGGAGGAGGCUCUAGUGACUGCAAUUCCCCAACUCCAUUUUCCACGAUGAAAGCCAUGGCCAAGCCCCAGGAAGAAUGCGAUAUUUGAGAUAGCUGUUUCUGUAAAAUUUUCAGAUAUAUUUACCUGGAUUAUCAGCAACAAAUCUAAUGGCUGCCCAUCCUUUGACGGGUACACUAGCUGUAUUCCUCAUAGGUGGAUCAACA